GAUACUUAGCCUACUAAAGUAUCCGCCUGAGAACUACGAGCACAAACGCUUAAAACUCUAAGGACUUGGCGGUGCCCCAAACCCACCUAGAGGAGCCUGUUCUAUAAUCGAUAACCCACGAUAAACCCAACCGCCUUUUGCUAGAGCAGCCUACAUACCGCCGUCGCCAGCUCACCUUCCCUGAGAGUACAGCAGUGAGCACAAUAGCCCUCAACAUCGCUAAUAAGACAGGUCAAGGUAUAGCCUAUAGGGCGGAAGAAAUGGGCUACAUUUUCUAAAAUAGAAAACUUUACGAAAAGGGGCAUGAAACUGCCCCCAGAAGGCGGAUUUAGCAGUAAAGCGGAAUAAUAAAUGCCCUCUUUAAGCUGGCCCUGGGG
rnacentral:rRNA from 1 species